UUCUGUUAACACAUUUUUAUAUCUCAAUAUUUUGUCCGAUCUAAGAGACACAUUGAAUACAUGUCUUUUAAACAAAUCACUACCAUUGUCUUUUUCUCUUACAGAUUAUCAUGCCAUUUUCCUCGACUACUGCUCUUAGAUGGAAUGUCAGAAUUUCGAUCAUCUACGCAUCCUGCAGCACUUGGAGCUGAUGAGACAGCAGCGAGAGUUAUCCCCGAUGGCCCUGGCCCUGAAUCUGAAGCACAAAUGCCCCCAUUGCAGCAAGGUGAUGGCUAGCAGGUACGCGCUAGAGAUGCACAUCCGGGUCCAUACGGGCGAGAAGCCAUACGCCUGUCACUUGUGUGACCAUAAGGCCAACACCAAGGGAAAUCUCAAGAAACACAUGCUAGUGCAUGCGAAAGACACGGACGGCAUGCUUAAAUAAUAAGCAACAGAUGCGAUUGAUUGUUAUUUGAAGUGUGAACACAUUUCUAUGUGUGAAAAUAUGGGCGAUGUGUUUAACCCAUUUAUGCCUAGUGUCUUCAUAAAAGGCCUUGGCAAACAGCGUAGACCCAGAUUUGACGCCACAUGAUGCGGCGUUUCAUCAGGGUCUGCACUGUUUUAUUAAAGGAAUUUCUGUAAGAAAUAUUCUAAAUAUAGAAAUAAAUAUACUUGACAUCCCUUAUUUUGGAAAUAAAUUGAUCUAAUUAAGAAGGAUGGGAGAGUCCACUAGGCAUAACUGGGUUAAACAAUUUGCAUGUAGUCGUUAGCUCACCUGAGCGCUUAGUGUAUGUAAAAAUAUGCAAAGUGAGUAGAAGUUAUUUUUUUAUAUCUCACUUGAGUACAUAGGGAGCUUGUGGGAGCUUUAAGGGUACAGUGUUGUCCUGCGUCUGUCAGUAAGUGCUUGCGUCUAUAAAUUGUUUUCUUCAAAAUACUUUUUUUCCUCAACCUUUUGACAGAUUUUAACAAAACUUCACAUGAAUGAUUAUUGGGUGACACUUUUUAAAAUAUAGUUUUGGUCUGCUGCAUUUGUAGGUCACAUGACAUAAAAUAUGUGUUAAAAAUGAAAACGUUAAAAAUCUCUGAAACCACAAGGAUAAGAGGUUAAAUAUAUGGUGUGUAACAUUGUCUUGUGGUCAUUAACCAGGUUUUCCGAAGGAAAAAACUGGUUAUUAGAUUGGCGAAUGCGGGUGGGCUGGCUGGCUGGCGGGCUGGCUGGCGAGCUGGCGGGCUGGCGGAAUAAGCUUGUCCGGGCCAUAACUAUGUCGUUCAUUGUCAGAUUUUGAAAUCAUUUGGCACAUUUGUUCACCAUCAUUGGACGGUGUGUCGCGCGAAAUAAUUACGUCGAUAUCUCCAAGGUCAAGGUCACACUUUGAGUUCAAAGGUCAAAAAUGGCCAUAAAUGAGCUUGUCCGAGCCAUAACUAUGUCGUUCAUCGUCAGAUUUUAAAAUCAUUUGGCACAUUUGUUCACCAUCAUUGGACGGUGUGUCGCGCGAAAUAAUUACGUCGAUAUCUCCAAGGUCAAGGUCACACUUUGAGUUCAAAGGUCAAAAAUGGCCAUAAAUGAGCUUGUCCUGGCCAUAACUAUGUCAUUCAUUGUGAGAUUUUAAAAUCAUUUGGCACAUUUGUUCACCAUCAUGGGACGGUGUGUCCCACGAAAGAAUCACGUCAAUAUCCAAUGUCAAGGUCGCCACGACUAAAAAUAGAUUUAAAAAAAAAAAAAAAUUACAAAGGGGGUUAAUUUUUUUUGGUCAUUUCAAAAGUUCAGUUUGAGUUUUCUCCCUUUAUCAGAUUUUUUUUUCACAAUGAAAACCUGGUUUUGUGACAAUUUUGUCCCUUGUUUUAUACUUAGUUUGUUUUAAUUAUGCCCUCGGUUCGAAACUGGUCAUCCCCAGGGGUCAGGCUAGUUGUAUAGACUUAAAUAGUGAAUAAAUUUUAAACUCUUCUCUGGAACCACACGGGCCAGAGUUUUACAAUUGUGUGAGUAACUGUUGGUUCUCUACCAAGUUUAUUCAAAUCAUUACCCUUUGUUCUUAAUUGACUUCGCCAUAGGGGUUACUUGUUUUCCGUAUACAUGUAUGUAUGUAUUAAAAAUCUUCGUUAUGAAACCGCAAGGCACCAAGUUUUUUUUUGCAUGUCACAUAAUGCAAUCCUCUUCUGAGUUUGUUUAAAUAAUAGCCCACAGGUCGAACCUGACCAUGCCCCAGAGGUCAUAUGAUCUACAUGUACUAUAGUUAAUAACCUCAAACAUCCCUGAAACAGCAAGGUUCAGUUUUCAGUAAGUGAUAUUAAACAUUUUAUGGGUUUCGUAAAAUCCUUCCCCUGGGGUAGAACUUAACCACGCCCCAGGGGCCACAUGGUUUAUAUUGACUUUUUAUGCCCCUUGAUCGAAAGAUCGGGGGCAUAUUGUUUUUGGCCUGUCUGUCUGUGUGUCAUUUAUUGUAUGUGUGUGUCCUAAAACUUUUAACUUGUUAAAUUUUUGCAAAAACUUUUGCAUUAUUGAAGAUAGCAACUUGAUAUUUGGCAUGCAUGUGUAUCUCAUGGAGCUGCAUAUUUUGAGUGGUUAAAGGUCAAGGUUAAGGUCAUCCUUCAUGGUCAAAGGUCAAAUAUAUGGCUUGAAAGCGGCUCAAUAGGGGGCAUUGUGUUUUUGACAAACACAUCUCUUAUUUUUACACAUUUUUUCUAUGAAUCCGCAAUGGUUUUUAGCUUAAUAUUUGGUGUGUAAAUUCGUUUGGUGGUCCUAUAAAAGUUUAUUUUAACAAUGCCGAUGGGGUCAAAGUUGGCUCCGCCUUUGGGGUAACUAGUUUUCAUUUAUGUAUGUUUUGAAAACUUUUAAAAUCUUUUCUUAAACCGCAAAAAGGGGUGUUUGGCAUAUAGCAUCGUAUGGUGGAUCUCUAACACUAACAGGUUUGUUCAAAUUAUGCCGCUGGGGUCAAAACAAACAAUGCCGCAGUGGUCAUAUAACUAGGGUCGAUUCAUAGUUAGUAGAGCUGUAGAAUUUGUUGAAAGCAUUGUGUAAAAAGUUUUGUUUUUGAGUUUUUCUUGAUGCACACAAUCAUUUUAUUUCACUAUUGAUACAAUUGUAUUUAAAUGCAUUCAUGCACACGAUGCUGUCAUGGGUUGUCUGUGUGCGUUUGUUAUUAUUCUCACAUGUUUAUUUUGCUAUAGUUAGGUUUUUGAUGAUAGAUUUUAAUGAAUGGUUAUGUAGAAAUUACCAAAACGAACGUCUUUACAUACGUUUUGUUCCUCUGUAAUGUUGUAUAUAUUGUGUAGGAAAUGUAAUAAUACAAGUAUUUUGAUAUUAAAAUGUUGUCAUGUA